rnacentral:tRNA from 1 species
AUCAGAUUAAGUUAGGUGAGACUGUAUGUUUUCAAAACAUGUAGGGGUUUAUGUUGUGCCAUUUGAUG